rnacentral:rRNA from 1 species
GACGAACGCUGGCGGCGUGCCUAAUACAUGCAAGUAGAACGCUGAAGAGAGGAGCUUGCUCUUCUUGGAUGAGUUGCGAACGGGUGAGUAACGCGUAGGUAACCUGCCUUGUAGCGGGGGAUAACUAUUGGAAACGAUAGCUAAUACCGCAUAACAAUGGAUGACACAUGUCAUUUAUUUGAAAGGGGCAAUUGCUCCACUACAAGAUGGACCUGCGUUGUAUUAGCUAGUAGGUGAGGUAAUGGCUCACCUAGGCGACGAUACAUAGCCGACCUGAGAGGGUGAUCGGCUACACUGGGACUGAGACACGGCCCAGACUCCUACGGGAGGCAGCAGUAGGGAAUCUUCGGCAAUGGGGGCAACCCUGACCGAGCAACGCCGCGUGAGUGAAGAAGGUUGUCGGAUCGUAAAGCUCUGUUGUAAGUCAAGAACGGGUGUGAGAGUGGAAAGUUCACACUGUGACGGUAGCUUACCAGAAAGGGACGGCUAACUACGUG